CAGCAGCCAUCCGAUUGACGUUUCGUCGCUGCGAGCGGUAGUCCGCAAACAACGCGAUCCACCCGAGAGCGAUCGGCAUCCAUCCGAUCGACGGGUUCGUCGAUUCAGCGGUUGUCCGCAACACUCGCGAAUUCCCAGUCGUCCCGCAACACCGCCGCCCUCGCAAUCCCCAACCAUCCCACGGCGCCUUCCCACCGCGCCGCCGCCGUAGCACCGCCCCAGUACUCCGCGCCGUCCAGCCGUCCCCGCCCCAUCACGCCACCAUCCCACCGUCCCGCCGCCGCGAGGUUCCCCAUUUGCCUCCGCAAGGGGUCCUGGCGGAUCCUCAAUGGCGAUUGGCGACAACGUCGAGCAAGAGGACGGGCACACCUCCAACCUAAGGAAGGAGCCCCUGCAGCCGUCUACCAGCGCCAACGAUGUUCACCCGUCCGCCGCCGUCGCCGCCCUCCACCGUGAGGGGUGCCCCUGUUCGCCGCCGCGAGGGGGUCUCCGUCCGCCCGCGCGAGGAAGCAGGUCCCCAGCGGUGGCCGCGGCUUGUAGUCCUGUAGAGGACGGGCACACCUCUAUCUCGAGCAAGGAGGCCCUGCCGCCAUCCACCUACACCAAAGGUCGCCGCGUUUCAAGCCGAGUUUUGCAGGCUGUUUGUCUCGCCAUCCCCUGCCAUCCUGAUCACCCGCCAUUGCCAUCUCAUCGGUUUCUAAAGGCUGUUUGUCUCGGAUCAAGAACAUGCAGCCUGCUGGCAGGAAGCAAUUUAGGGCACCUCUAGGCGAUGUUUCAAACAGCAAUGCCUUAGACUCUCAAAAUGUAGGCUCUAUAGAAUUGAAAAUGCAGAGGGAGAAAAUUCGGAACGCCUCCAUGACUAACGACCAGAGAAAUGAACGGAACAAGAAAAGGCAUGAGGCUUAUAAGAGGAAGAAAGCAGACACAUCCAACAAAUAAAACACGACAUGUGGAUAUGUUUUAUGUGCACUUCACUGGAUUUACCAUCUUUUUAUAAAUAUCACUUAUUGUUCCUUCAUGUUCAUUGCGCCGGCAGGAGCUGUAGUUGAGCAUCCUCUGUCAGACGACAUGUGUAUCAAUGUGGCAUGCAUGGAGCAAACUCAAAUUACCACCAGCUCUGUCCAGACGAGCUUUGCAUCAGAGUAGUUACCUUUGAUUGCUGAGGUAUUGAGCUCUCGGAGCUAGCAGUUGAAGGCCGCUCAAAUUUUGUUGCUAGGUAUGAUGACAUUAAUGAACUUUUAUGAUUUCUGGCAAUAGAUACUUUUAGUCAUGCUAUUUUUGGGGAGUAAAAAAUUAAAGUUGUAGUUAGUUGUCUGGUUCAUGUCAUGGUGAUAAGAGAUUGUAGUUGCUGUACUGUCUGAUGAUUUCAGUGAGUCACGACAAAUUUGGUCUUUUUACUGAUUCUAAUUGUAAAAAAAAAAUGAUGUGUAAAACCCUGCUGCAUUGAACUUGGAAUGUAUGUUCUAAUAGUUUUGAAGUUGACAUUGGCUAGGACAUGUUGCAACGCAAAUUUGGAGAGCAUGUAUUAUUUGGUCGCUUGUAGGGUGGGCAAUAUGCUAUGCUCAUACUCACAAGUCCAAAUUAGUUAGAUCUAAACUGAUGUAUAAUAUGAAUAUUUUGUUGGACACAAUGUUUUUGAAUGUGAGAUUUGGACCCAAUCCUAGAUUCUCUUAUCUGCA